UAGUUGGUGGGGUAAUGGCCCACCAAGGCGACGACGGGUAGCCGGCCUGAGAGGGUGGUCGGCCACGCGGGCACUGAGACACGGGCCCGACUCCUACGGGAGGCAGCAGGGGGGAAUCUUGGGCAAUGGGCGAAAGCCUGACCCAGCGACGCCGCGUGGGGGAAGAAGGCCUUCGGGUCGUAAACCCCUGUUCUGGAGGAAGAACCCAGGGUAGGUGAAUAACCUAUCCUGGCUGACGGUACUCCAGGAGAAAGCCACGGCUAACUGCGUGCCAGCAGCCGCGGUAAUACGCAGGUGGCGAGCGUUGCCCGGAAUUACUGGGCGUAAAGGGUGCGUAGGCGGCCGGACAAGUCAUAGGUUAAAGCCCGGAGCUCAACUCCGGAAAGGCCUAUGAUACUGUCUGGCUUGAGGGCCGGAGAGGCUGGCGGAAUUCCCGGUGUAGGGGUGAAAUCCGUAGAUAUCGGGAGGAACACCGGUGGGGAAGCCGGCCAGCUGGACGGUUCCUGACGCUGAGGCACGAAAGCGUGGGGGAGCAAACCGGAUUAGAUACCCGGGUAGUCCACGCCGUAAACGAUGGGCGCUAGGUGUGGGGGUGAAAGCCUCUGUGCCGUAGCUAACGCGUUAAGCGCCCCGCCUGGGGAGUACGGCCGCAAGGCUGAAACUCAAAGGAAUUGACGGGGGCCCGCACAAGCGGUGGAGCACGUGGUUUAAUUCGAUGCAAAGCGAAGAACCUUACCUGGGCUUGACAUGCUAGGGUUGUACCCUGGUGGAAACACCGGGGGAGCGUAGGGGUUAUCUCUACGCGCUCUAGCACAGGUGCUGCAUGGCUGUCGUCAGCUCGUGUCGUGAGAUGUUGGGUUAAGUCCCGCAACGAGCGCAACCCCUGCCCUUAGUUGCCAUCGGUUCGGCCGGGCACUCUAAGGGGACUGCCGGGGAUAACCCGGAGGAAGGAGGGGAUGACGUCAAGUCCUCAUGGCCCUUAUGCCCAGGGCUACACACGUGCUACAAUGGGGGGUACAGAGGGUUGCG
rnacentral:rRNA from 1 species